AUACUACUCCCUCCGUCCUGAAUUAAUUGUCUUAGAUAUGUAUCUAGACACGUUUUAGUGCUAGGUACAUCCGUAUCUCGACAAACCUAAGACAACUAAUUUGGAACGGAGGUAAUAGAUG
rnacentral:pre_miRNA from 1 species